rnacentral:rRNA from 1 species
AACGUAGGAGACAAACGUUAUCCGGAGUUACUGGGCGUAAAGGGCGUGUAGGUGGUUUUGUAAGUCUGGCGUGAAAUUUCUCGGCUUAACCGAGGCAGGUCGUCGGAUACUAUAAGACUAGAGGACGGUAGAGGCGUGUGGAAUUCCGGGUGUAGUGGUGAAAUGGCGUAGAGAUCCGGAGGAACACCAGUGGCGAAGGCGACACGCUGGGCCGUACCUGACACUGAUGCGCGACAGCAUGGGGAGCAAACAGG